rnacentral:ncRNA from 1 species
UGAGUACCCUUGAACGGGAUAGUAAAUUGAUGGAAGCUGUACAGAGAGUCCGGUGCCUGGUGGAAUCCGGAUCAGUGCCAUCCUUUGAAGAUCACCCGGGAGGUGCCUUUUGAAACCUGUAAAACAGGGAGUAGUUUUGGCCGGCUACACUCCGUUAUCAGUGUAUCGAGUGUUCGGGAAAUAAUCCUGUUCAUUAGGGUGGUACCGCGGGUAAAACAGCUCGUCCCUUUG